rnacentral:rRNA from 1 species
AUUAAGCCAUGCAUGUCUAAGUAUAAAUUCUUGUACGAUGAAACUGCAGACGGCUCAUUACAACAGUGAUAAACUAAUAGACUUUCGGGUUUUACCUUUUGGAUAACCGCAGUAAAUCGGGGCUAAUACAUAGAAGCGAGGGGUGACUGAUUUAUCGGAAGCUCCGCGAUUAUUAGCAUUCAACCAAUACCCGCAAGGGUUCUGUUGGUGAAACCGAAUAAUAUUGCAGAUCGAAGAUUUAUCUUCGACAAGUCUACUGUGUCACUGCCCUAUCAACUUUCGAUGGUACGGUAUUGGCCUACCAUGGUUGUAACGGGUAACGGGGAAUUAGGGUUCGAUUCCGGAGAGGGAGCCUGAGAAAUGGCUACCACUUCUACGGAAGGCAGCAGGCGCGCAAAUUACUCAAUCCCAAUACGGGGAAGUAGUGACAAUAAAUAUCGAUGCCUAUCCAUUUAUGGAAGGGUAAUUGAAAUGAACACAAAUUAAAACUCUUAAUUAAUACAAUUGGAGGGCAAGUCUGGUGCCAGCAGCCGCGGUAAUUCCAGCUCCAAUAGCAUAUACUAAAGUUGUUGCAGUUAAAAAGCUCGUAGUUGAAGUUAAAGCUUUAUUUGGGUUAAAAAUCCAUUUGCCUUUUAACGGUUAAAUAGGAUUCCAGUAUUGCUUUUUUAAAGUUCAGUUUGUAUUGCCUUUGGUAGUAUUUAUUUGGACAUUUCACUGUGAGAAAAUUGUGGUGUUUAAAGCAGGCGUCUCUGUCUGAUCUUUUGCAGCAUGGUAUGAUGGAACAUGACAUUUUGCG